UGCGAUCGCAGUGACGAAAGCGGUUAGGUUUACCCACGAAUGGAAGUGUGGGGAGAUAGUGAUAAGCUGUCGGCUAGAAUCCGACACCAAGUGAAACACCGAAGUACGAAAGGGGUGACCUGAGUAGGAAGUAGCUGAUACCGAUUUCCAAGAAAAGCUGCUAGCUUAAGCACAAUCGGCCCGUACCGAGAACGGACACACGUGGUCAAGGAGAGUAUCCUAAGGUGAGCGAGAUAACUGUUGUUAAGGAACUCUGCAAAAUUACUUCGUAAGUUAGCGAGAAGAAGUGCUCCGUAAAAGGAGCCGCAGUGAAGAGGCCCAAGUAACUGUUUACCAAAAACACAGCUCUAUGCUAAGUCGUAAGACGAUGUAUAUGGGGUGAAGCCUGCCCGGUGCCGGAAGGUUAAUAGGAGAGGUGAAAGCUUUGAAUUGAAGCCCCGGUGAACGGCGGCCGUAACUAUAACGGUCCUAAGGUAGCGAAAUUCCUUGUCAGGUAAGUUCUGACGUGCACGAAUGGUUUAAUAAUUUGGGCGCUGUCUCGACAGCAGACUCGGUGAAAUCUUAAUACCGGUGAAGAUGCCGGUUACCCGCGACUAGACGGAAAGACCCCAUGGAGCUUUACUACAACUUAAUAUUGAGUAAUUGCAAAUCAUGUAGAGGAUAGGUGGGAGGCUAUGAAGUAAUGGCGCUAGCUAUUAUGGAGCCGCCCUUGGAAUACCACCCUUGAUUUACAGUUAUUCUAACUUCCUCCCUGGAUGGGAGGGAAGACAGUGUUAGGCGGGUAGUUUGGCUGGGGCGGCCGCCUCCCAAAUAGUAACGGAGGCGCCCUAAGGUACCCUCAGUAUGGUCGGAAAUCAUACGUAGAGCGCAAAUGCAUAAGGGUGCUUGACUGCGAGACACACAGGUCGAGCAGGUACGAAAGUAGGGAUUAGUGACCAGGCGGUUUCAUUGUGGAAUGGCCGUCGCUUAACGGAUAAAAGCUACCCUGGGGAUAACAGGCUGAUCGCGUCCAAGAGUUCACUUCGACGACGCGGUUUGGCACCUCGAUGUCGGCUCAUCACAUCCUGGAGGGGCAGUACCUUCCAAGGGUUAGGCUGUUCGCCUAUUAAAGUGGUACGCGAGCUGGGUUCAAAACGUCGUGAGACAGUUUGGUCCCUAUCUGUCGUGGGCGUAGGAAGUUUGAAAGGAUCUGACCCUAGUACGCAAGGACCAGGUUGGACGUAACUACGGUACACCGGUUGUUUCGCCAGAAGCAUAGCCGGGUAGCCGCUUACGGAUCGAAUAAACGCUGAAAGCAUCUAAGCGUGAAAUCGUCCUUAAGAUGAGACUUCCGAUUCUAACGAAUUAAGAUCCCUUCUAUGUUAGGAGGUUGAUAGGUCACAGAUGUACGCAUAGUGAUAUGUUUAGUCGAGUGAUACUAAUAGAUCGAUCACUUAUUUCA
rnacentral:rRNA from 1 species